UGAGGAAAGAACCCAGGAGUCCUGCCUUCGGAGAAGGGACUUCAGCCCAGUGUUCAGACAAGCAUCCCAGGUCCACCCGUCGCUGGGUACAGGAGGGGAGCUCACCUGCCAGGCAGGCGAGGAAGUGAUGCCCAGGACCUGCUUCCAGGCCCAGUGGUGCCUCUCCCGCCUGCCUGCCUCGGGGAGAGCCUGAACCUAUUGCUGUGAAAUGGAGCAAAUUGCCCUGGGUGUGACCGACGCUGCCUGAGUUUGCCGAGAGCCUGAACCCAUCGCUGUGCGAGGGGGAGAGGACUUUUCUUUCUUUCUUUCUUUUCCCCCAGGCCUUGUCCAUUGCUCUACCUGUCAAUCCGUCCCCCAGCUGCCCCAUUCACUCUCUGUCUCUGGCUCCAUGCUGUCAGAUCAGCCCUCGGGUCCUGUCCCUAAGAGCUGGGGAGGACCGUGACAGGGCAGCAGGGGCCUGUCCAGCUGUGGCAGCCUCUGCCUGGGAUGGUCAGGAACCUGCUGCUGUGAGAUGAUCAGAGCUGCCAGCACCUGUGCUAAGCAAGCUGGGCCGAGGUCACUUGGGACACAAUUUUGUGGGUUCCUCAGAGGACACGUUAACCCGGCUGCGUGGUUAGAGCAUGACCCAUCUGGGGAAGGGGCAGCGUCCUGCUCUUUGUGCGUGUGCA